UUUGUCCACCAUCACACUGUCAAACUGACAAGGAUAGGUUAACAUGCCUGACAGGUUCACUCUGGUCGCUCUCAGCUUUUAUUUCAUACUUCACAAUGUUUGUAGUUGGAGCGUGAGUGAACCUCUCAACCACACAUUGCAUGACGAUGGCUCAGUCAGUGUCACAUGCGUGUUUUAUGGAGAAGAAAGGUUUGAACUGGAAGCUAAGUUGAAAAUGAAUGAUACGGAGGUUUGUGAGGUUUAUGACAAAAGACAAGAACAUAACAAGUGUAAAUGGGAGCAUGAGGACAAUAAAUUCACAUUCACCUUAAUGAAACCUGAGGCCUUACACAGUAAUACAUUUUCCUGUGAGAUAUCCAAAAUAAAACCAUAUCCAGUCAAAACUGAAAAAGGACCUAAAAUUAAGCUUUUCCGAGGUUGCAGUAACCCUUUUGCUCCACUGAAGAACAGCUGUCCAAUCACUAACCAAACACAUAACCAGGAUCCCACACUUGUAGAGAGGCCUGCACUUGAAGACACGUAUACCCUACUAAUCUGUGGUCUGGUCAUAGUGGUGAUAAUGCUGUCUCUCUACAGCAUUAUUCUUACUACAGUCUACAUCAGAUUGAGGGUCACACAUUUGGAGUCUUCUGACACUCUGACCUACGUGCCAAUGCAGAGGAAUGUAAAACGACAUGAUCUAGAAAACACUGAAUAUGUGGACAUGCGUGAAGUGCAGAAACGGGAAGGAUCCCACAGAGAUAUGAACCACAACUCUCAUCUUGCUACUGGCAGAGCCCAUUUCUAAUGGCAUCAGUGAGCUCAUGCUUUAACUGCUCUAGGACUUACUGCUUAUUAUACUUCCGCUUCACUAAAGAAUAUAACAGGAUAAAACUAUUUCCUUUCUACCAAACAAAACAGACUUUCCUGAAUGCCUGAAUCUGCAUAUUGCUCCUGCACCUCAUUCAACAAAUAACACAGGCUUGAUGUUCUGUUGCAGAUGAUUUCAUCUGGUGGUUUGUACAACCUAAUGGUGAAUUGUAGCUAUGCCAAGCUAAAUGUAUAUAAAAUAUCUAGCUUGGACAUUUUUUUAUUAUUAUUUUGAUCCCAUGGACCAAUAAUCAAUUAUAAUAUCAGUUUUGUUCAGUGUAUAAUAAAU
rnacentral:lncRNA from 1 species